rnacentral:rRNA from 1 species
CAAUAGCGUAUAUUAAAGUUGUUGCAGUUAAAAAGCUCGUAGUUGGAUUUCUGGUUGAAGCGACCGGUCGGGCGUUGAUUCGUCUGCACUGGAGUCGGUUUUGGCCAUCCUCUAGGAAAGUGCGUCUGGUAUUAAGUUAUCGGGCGUAUGAUCCUGGUCUUUUACUGUGAAAAAAUUAGAGUGUUUAAAGCUGGCCUUCGCCUUGAAUACAUUAGCAUGGAAUAAUAAGAUAGGACUUUGGUCUAUUUUGUUGGUUUGCAGACCGAAGUAAUGAUUAAUAGGGAUAGUUGGGGGUAUUUAUAUUCCGAUGUCAGAGGUGAAAUUCUUAGAUUUUCGGAAGAUAAACUUAUGCGAAAGCAUUUACCAAGGAUGUUUUCAUUAA